rnacentral:lncRNA from 1 species
AUGAAUCUUCAUCGUCUUCAUCUUCAUCAUCAUCUUCAUUAUCUUCAUCAUUAUUUUCAUCUUCAUCAUCAUCAUCUUCUUCAUCAUCAUCAUCAUCGUCUUCUUCAUCUUCAUCAUCUUCUUCAUCAUCUUCAUCAUUAUCUUCAUCAUCCUUUUCUUCAUCUUCAUCAUCAUCGUCUUCUUCAUCUUCAUCAUCUUCAUCUUCUUCAUCGUCAUCAUCAUCGUCUUCAUCAUCUUCAUCAUCAUCUUCUUCAUCAUCAUCAUCUUCAUUGUCUUCUUCAUCUUCAUCAUCUUCAUCAUCAUCUUCUUCUUCAUCUUCAUCAUCAUCAUCUUCAUUGUCUUCUUCAUCUUCAUCAUCAUCUUCUUCAUUAUCAUCAUCUUCAUCAUCUUCAUCAUCAUCGUCUUCUUCAUCAUCAUCGUCUUCAUCAUCAUCUUCUUCAUCAUCAUCAUCUUCAUUGUCUUCUUCAUCUUCAUCAUCAUCAUCAUCUUCAUCAUCAUCAUCUUCAUCAUCAUCAUCUUCAUCUUCAUCAUCUUCAUCAUCAUCUUCUUCAUCAUCAUCACCUUCAUUGUCUUCUUCAUCUUCAUCAUCAUCUUCUUCAUUAUCAUCAUCUUCAUCAUCAUCAUCAUCUUCUUCAUCAUCAUCUUCAUCAUCUUCAUCAUCAUCAUCUUCUUCAUCAUCAUCAUCUUCAUUGUCUUCUUCAUCUUCAUCAUCAUCAUCAUCUUCAUCUUCUUCAUCAUCAUCUUCAUCAUCAUCGUCUCACUGGACACAGAACAGCGUUCUCUGAUUGGCUGUCUGUAGCUCCUCCCCUCUCAGCCCCUCCCCGGUCACACGGUCCUCCUCACUCAUCCAUGUCUGCUCGUGCACCCUCGUGCACCCUCGUGCGCGCUCACACACACACAUGCAGCAUCAGACCUCCUCCGGAUGCGUGUCCGUGUUUGAUGCUCUGCCGUCAUGCUACAGUCAUACAUACUGCACCCAGUAUGUAUUCAUGCAUGCUUUCUCGCCGCGGCGGGCGUGUCCGUUUGCCUUCUAAGAUGAGUUGGAGCAGGCGGGGGGGGGGGGGUCAGGAUGCAUAUGGAGGGCGGGGUGGAGGUGGAGGGGUGGGGCUUUGGUUUGGAGUCUUCAGGUCGGCCCUGCAUGACUCAGGGGCCGAGCCUGGGGGCCACAUACCCUUCUCCGGGUACACAUCCUCACUAGCGGUGAAGCGCACCCCCUUCCCGCCGAACACUGGCCCACAGACGGGCGCAGGAGGAGGGCAGACAGAGAGAGGAGAGACAGUCAGACAGACAGUCAGACAGACAGUCAGACAGACAUCGUCCUGA